rfam:Camelus ferus unplaced genomic scaffold scaffold1050, whole genome shotgun sequence.
GAGAGUAUAGCUUAAGUGGUAGAGCGCAUGCUUAGCACGCACGAAGUCCUAGCUUCAAUUGCCAGUGCUUCCA